rnacentral:rRNA from 1 species
AACGAACGCUGGCGGCAUGCCUAACACAUGCAAGUCGAACGAGACCUUCGGGUCUAGUGGCGCACGGGUGCGUAACGCGUGGGAACCUGCCCUUAGGUUCGGAAUAACUCCCCGAAAGGGGUGCUAAUACCGGAUAAUGUCUUCGGACCAAAGAUUUAUCGCCCUUGGAUGGGCCCGCGUUGGAUUAGCUAGUUGGUAGGGUAAAAGCCUACCAAGGCGACGAUCCAUAGCUGGUCUGAGAGGAUGAUCAGCCACACUGGGACUGAGACACGGCCCAGACUCCUACGGGAUGCAGCAGUGGGGAAUAUUGGACAAUGGGCGAAAGCCUGAUCCAGCAAUGCCGCGUGAGUGAUGAAGGCCUUAGGGUUGUAAAGCUCUUUUACCCGGGAUGAUAAUGACAGUACCGGGAGAAUAAGCUCCGGCUAACUCCGUG